ensembl:lncRNA
CAGGAAUCUCUACAUUCUCUUUUCCUAGAAGUGCGUGGGGGCUCACGCUUAGAAAUGGUGUAGUGGCGUACGCGCAGUGGCUAGUCUUCUCUCGAAUAUUCUGGGAGGAACAGUAAAGACAAUUUUGAGAGUCCUAUUUGCAGCCAAAGACGUUGAGAUCAAGGCUCUCAAACAAAAAAGAGUAAUAAAAGCCUCUUCCAUCUUCAGAAUAAGUAGAACCAUCCUAUCUGGGAACCUUGCUGAUGUGGGAGGCAGUAGAGAAUUGGGCAUAAUAAUGGAACAUUCCUGAAGUUUGGCAGAACUCCUGUCUUGGACAGAUGGGGGGCUGAGAGGCAUGGUAGAGCCCUGAGUUCCUGGGCUGGAAGUGGGCAUGAGGCUGUGAUAAAUGGAGCCAAGAGGAUAAUUACCAGUAUUUGCAGCAUCAGAAGAAAUUACAAUAUGAAAAGAAAGAAGGCUAGAAUGACCCCUAUGAUGCUGGAUUGGAAUAAAAAGUAUCAGGAGCAAGAUGGUGGAAUAGGAGUUUUCUACUGUUGUCCCACCAUAGAACAUCCAUCUUGACAAUCACUCACAGGUGAGAAUGCCUUUGUGGGUAUCUGGCAGUCCAUUGGAGAAGUUCUAGCACAUCACUGGAACAGAAAAUCUGAGAGUAGACACAAUGAAGAGGGCAAGAAGAACAGUUUUACUUUAUUUGCAUAAGUUCAGGGGAUCUAAUAUACAGCAUGGUGACUGUAAUUAAUAUUACCGUAUUGUAUACUUGAAAUUUGCCAAGUCUGGAGAUUUUUUUUAAUGUUUAGUUUUUACUUUAGAGAGAGAGAGAGUGUGUGUGUGUGAGCAGGGGAGGGGCAGGGAGAGGUGAGGACAGAGAUCCGAAGCCAGUUCCUUGCUAACAGCAGAGAGUUUGAUGUAGGGCUCGAACUCACGAACCAUGAGAUCAUGACCUGAGCCAAAGUUGGACACUCAACCCACUGAGCCACCCAGGCACCCCACCAAGUCUGUAGAUCUUAAGUAGUCUCACCACACAAACAGAAAAGAUAAUUAUG